UUAAGCGACUAAGCGUACACGGUGGAUGCCCUGGCAGUCAGAGGCGAUGAAGGACGUGCUAAUCUGCGAAAAGCGUCGGUAAGGUGAUAUGAACCGUUAUAACCGGCGAUGUCCGAAUGGGGAAACCCAGUGUGAUUCGUCACACUAUCGUUAACUGAAUACAUAGGUUAACGAGGCGAACCGGGGGAACUGAAACAUCUAAGUACCCCGAGGAAAAGAAAUCAACCGAGAUUCCCCCAGUAGCGGCGAGCGAACGGGGAGCAGCCCAGAGUCUGAAUCAGCUUGUGUGUUAGUGGAACGGUCUGGAAAGUCCGACGGUACAGGGUGAUAGUCCCGUACACCAAAAUGCACAGGCUGUGAACUCGAAGAGUAGGGCGGGACACGUGGUAUCCUGUCUGAAUAUGGGGGGACCAUCCUCCAAGGCUAAAUACUCCUGACUGACCGAUAGUGAACCAGUACCGUGAGGGAAAGGCGAAAAGAACCCCGGCGAGGGGAGUGAAAAAGAACCUGAAACCGUGUACGUACAAGCAGUGGGAGCACCUUCGGGUGUGACUGCGUACCUUUUGUAUAAUGGGUCAGCGACUUAUAUUCUGUAGCAAGGUUAACCGUAUAGGGGAGCCGCAGGGAAACCGAGUCUUAACUGGGCGUUAAGUUGCAGGGUAUAGACCCGAAACCCGGUGAUCUAGCCAUGGGCAGGUUGAAGGUUGGGUAACACUAACUGGAGGACCGAACCGACUAAUGUUGAAAAAUUAGCGGAUGACUUGUGGCUGGGGGUGAAAGGCCAAUCAAACCGGGAGAUAGCUGGUUCUCCCCGAAAGCUAUUUAGGUAGCGCCUCGUGAACUCAUCUUCGGGGGUAGAGCACUGUUUCGGCUAGGGGGUCAUCCCGACUUACCAACCCGAUGCAAACUACGAAUACCGAAGAAUGUUAUCACGGGAGACACACGGCGGGUGCUAACGUCCGUCGUGAAGAGGGAAACAACCCAGACCGCCAGCUAAGGUCCCAAAGUCAUGGUUAAGUGGGAAACGAUGUGGGAAGGCACAGACAGCCAGGAUGUUGGCUUAGAAGCAGCCAUCAUUUAAAGAAAGCGUAAUAGCUCACUGGUCGAGUCGGCCUGCGCGGAAGAUGUAACGGGGCUAAACCAUGCACCGAAGCUGCGGCAGCGACACUAUGUGUUGUUGGGUAGGGGAGCGUUCUGUAAGCCUGCGAAGGUGACCUGUGAGGGUUGCUGGAGGUAUCAGAAGUGCGAAUGCUGACAUAAGUAACGAUAAAGCGGGUGAAAAGCCCGCUCGCCGGAAGACCAAGGGUUCCUGUCCAACGUUAAUCGGGGCAGGGUGAGUCGACCCCUAAGGCGAGGCCGAAAGGCGUAGUCGAUGGGAAACAGGUUAAUAUUCCUGUACUUGGUGUUACUGCGAAGGGGGGACGGAGAAGGCUAUGUUAGCCGGGCGACGGUUGUCCCGGUUUAAGCAUGUAGGCUGGUUAUCCAGGCAAAUCCGGAUAAUCAAGGCUGAGGUGUGAUGACGAGGCACUACGGUGCUGAAGUAACAAAUGCCCUGCUUCCAGGAAAAGCCUCUAAGCAUCAGGUAACAUCAAAUCGUACCCCAAACCGACACAGGUGGUCAGGUAGAGAAUACCAAGGCGCUUGAGAGAACUCGGGUGAAGGAACUAGGCAAAAUGGUGCCGUAACUUCGGGAGAAGGCACGCUGGUGUGUAGGUGAAGCCCCUGCGGGUGGAGCUGAGACCAGUCGAAGAUACCAGCUGGCUGCAACUGUUUAUUAAAAACACAGCACUGUGCAAACACGAAAGUGGACGUAUACGGUGUGACGCCUGCCCGGUGCCGGAAGGUUAAUUGAUGGGGUUAUCCGUAAGGAGAAGCUCUUGAUCGAAGCCCCGGUAAACGGCGGCCGUAACUAUAACGGUCCUAAGGUAGCGAAAUUCCUUGUCGGGUAAGUUCCGACCUGCACGAAUGGCGUAAUGAUGGCCAGGCUGUCUCCACCCGAGACUCAGUGAAAUUGAACUCGCUGUGAAGAUGCAGUGUACCCGCGGCAAGACGGAAAGACCCCGUGAACCUUUACUAUAGCUUGACACUGAACAUUGAGCCUUGAUGUGUAGGAUAGGUGGGAGGCUUUGAAGCGUGGACGCCAGUCUGCGUGGAGCCAACCUUGAAAUACCACCCUUUAAUGUUUGAUGUUCUAACGUUGGCCCCUUACCGGGGUUGCGGACAGUGUCUGGUGGGUAGUUUGACUGGGGCGGUCUCCUCCCAAAGCGUAACGGAGGAGCACGAAGGUUAGCUAAUCCGGUCGGACAUCAGGAGGUUAGUGCAAUGGCAUAAGCUAGCUUGACUGCGAGCGUGACGGCGCGAGCAGGUGCGAAAGCAGGUCAUAGUGAUCCGGUGGUUCUGAAUGGAAGGGCCAUCGCUCAACGGAUAAAAGGUACUCCGGGGAUAACAGGCUGAUACCGCCCAAGAGUUCAUAUCGACGGCGGUGUUUGGCACCUCGAUGUCGGCUCAUCACAUCCUGGGGCUGAAGUAGGUCCCAAGGGUAUGGCUGUUCGCCAUUUAAAGUGGUACGCGAGCUGGGUUUAGAACGUCGUGAGACAGUUCGGUCCCUAUCUGCCGUGGGCGCUGGAGAAUUGAGGGGGGCUGCUCCUAGUACGAGAGGACCGGAGUGGACGCAUCACUGGUGUUCGGGUUGUCAUGCCAAUGGCACUGCCCGGUAGCUAAAUGCGGAAGAGAUAAGUGCUGAAAGCAUCUAAGCACGAAACUUGCCCCGAGAUGAGUUCUCCCUGAGACUUUAAGUCUCCUGAAGGAACGUUGAAGACGACGACGUUGAUAGGCCGGGUGUGUAAGCGCAGCGAUGCGUUGAGCUAACCGGUACUAAUGAACCGUGAGGCUUAACCU
rnacentral:rRNA from 1 species